GUGCUCGCUUUGGCAGCACAUAUACUAAAAUUGAAAUGAUACAGAGAAGAUUAGCAUGGACACUAAGCAAGGACGACACGCAAAUUCAUGAAGCGUUCCAUAUUUUU